CUGUUCCUACGGGAGGCAGCAGUGGGGGAUAUUGCACAAUGGGGGAAACCCUGAUGCAGCGACGCCGCGUGUGGGAAGACGGUCCUCUGGAUUGUAAACCACUGUCCCCAGGGACGAAGAUGACGGUACAUGGGGAGGAAGCUCCGGCUAACUACGUGCCAGCAGCCGCGGUAAUAGGUAGGGAGCGAGCGUUGUCCGGAAUUACUGGGGGGAAAGGGAGCGUAGGCGGGAGUGCAAGUUGGG
rnacentral:rRNA from 1 species